AUCCAGCUGACGGGUCCCAAAUAGGACGAAAGGCGCGGCCUAAAU
rnacentral:hammerhead_ribozyme from 1 species